rnacentral:rRNA from 1 species
CCUACGGGUGGCAGCAGUGGGGAAUAUUGGACAAUGGGGGCAACCCUGAUCCAGCCAUGCCGCGUGUGUGAAGAAGGCCCUCGGGUUGGAAAGCACUUUCAGUGAGGAAGAACGCCUGGUGGUUAAUACCCAUCAGGAAAGACAUCACUCACAGAAGAAGCACCGGCUAACUCCGUGCCAGCAGCCGCGGUAAUACGGAGGGUGCGAGCGUUAAUCGGAAUUACUGGGCGUAAAGCGCGCGUAGGUGGCUUGAUAAGCCGGUUGUGAAAGCCCCGGGCUCAACCUGGGAACGGCAUCCGGAACUGUCCAGCUAGAGUGCAGGAGAGGAAGGUAGAAUUCCCGGUGUAGCGGUGAAAUGCGUAGAGAUCGGGAGGAAUACCAGUGGCGAAGGCGGCCUUCUGGACUGACACUGACACUGAGGUGCGAAAGCGUGGGUAGCAAACAGGAUUAGAUACCCUUGUAGUC